rnacentral:rRNA from 1 species
CAGCCGUAAACAAUGUGCGUUAGGUGUGUCGGUAACCACGUGUUACUGAUGCGCCGAAGAGAAAUCGUGAAACGCACCACCUGGGAAGUACGGUCGCAAGGCUGAAACUUAAAGGAAUUGGCGGGGGAGCACCACAACAGGUGGAGCCUGCGGUUUAAUUGGACUCAACGCCGGAAAUCUCACCGGAUAAGACAGCAGAAUGAUUGCCGGGCUGAAGACUCUGCAUGACUAGCUGAGAGGAGGUGCAUGGCGUCAGUGACU